rnacentral:rRNA from 1 species
UACGAAGGGGGCUAGCGUUGCUCGGAAUCACUGGGCGUAAAGGGUGCGUAGGCGGGUUUUAAGUCAGAGGUGAAAUCCUGGAGCUCAACUCCAGAACUGCCUUUGAUACUGAAAGUCUUGAGUAUGGGAGAGGUGAGUGGAACUGCGAGUGUAGAGGUGAAAUUCGUAGAUAUUCGCAAGAACACCAGUGGCGAAGGCGGCUCACUGGCCCAUUACUGGACGCUGAGGCACGAAAGCGUGGGGAGCAAACAGGG